UACGAAGGGGGCGAGCGUUGUUCGGAUUUACUGGCGUAAAGGGCGCGCAGGCGGCGCAUUUUGUCAGGCGUGAAAGCCCCGGGCUUAACCUGGGAACUGCGUUUGAUACGGAUGGGCUAGAGUUCGGGAGAGGAGAGUGGAAUUCCCAGUGUAGGAGGUGAAAUUCGUAGAUAGUUGGGAAGAACACCGGGUGGCGAAGGCGGCUAGCUCGUGG
rnacentral:rRNA from 1 species